GAGAAAUCACGCAGCUGAGAUGCGGCUGAGCUGAAAUUAGGCCUGAAGUGUGCCUGACUCGAGCCUGAGGUCUCCCUUCCACUGAGCUGCCUCCCUGGGUGAACAGGAGACGUACCAGGGAGUGGGGAGGCCCAGGGCCUCAGACCUUGGGGCAGAGAUGGAUUGGGGAGACUGAGGCCCUGAGUUCUCUCCAGGUAAACCCACAGAGAGUCCUGGCUGCCUGGCCCUUCAGCCUGAGUCAUCUCUGUGUAGCUGACUCCCGACUCCGAGCUGGACUCCAGCUGGCUGGAUGGAGAAGAUGAAGUCCUAAGGGAUGGUAGAGGCACAAGAAGGAAGGAGCCUGGAUCUCUGCAUCAGCAUAAGGAGGCAAGCCACUCAUCAACCAGGAACACCAGUUUUGGACUUCUAAACCCAAUCACAGGAUCUGCCUGGGAACUCCUCCUAAGCGCAUCCUCUCCUGCUGCAGAAGAAGCAGCAGCUGUCGGCCAGCCUCAGCAAUGGGUUCUUAAGAGAGACAAAAGCAGCAACCAAUCAUGGAACAGCACGUUCGGCUUGUGGGCCAACAUGGAGCAGAGGGAGGAUUUGAGUCGGUGAGCAAGGCUUUCUUCUGCCUCUCCCUACCACUCCACCAUGGAUGCUAGUUUCAGCUCUGACCACAUCUUUACCCCAGGGACUCCAGCCAACCCUGGGACUUACUAUCUCAUAGCCCUUGUUUAAUUUUCUUCACUCCACAGGACACUUCUCAACUUCUCUUUCUGUGGCUUCUCACAGGGAAUUAAUUAGUUACUGAUAUCUAGU